rnacentral:rRNA from 1 species
CCUACGGGAGGCAGCAGUGGGGGAUAUUGCACAAUGGGGGGAACCCUGAUGCAGCGACGCCGCGUGGGUGAAGGAGUGCUUCGGCAUGUAAAGCCCUAUCGGCAGGGAAGAAGCAAGACGGUACCUGACUAAGAAGCCCCGGCUAACUACGUGCCAGCAGCCGCGGUAAUACGUAGGGGGCGAGCGUUAUCCGGAUUCACUGGGUGUAAAGGGAGCGUAGACGGCCAUGCAAGCCAGGGGUGAAAGCCCGGGGCCCAACCCCGGGACUGCCCUUGGAACUGUGCGGCUAGAGUGCGGGAGGGGCAGGCGGAAUUCCUGGUGUAGCGGUGAAAUGCGUAGAUAUCAGGAGGAACACCGGCGGCGAAGGCGGCCUGCUGGACUGCGACUGACGUUGAGGCUCGAAAGCGUGAGGAGCGAACAGGAUUAGAUACCCGGGUAGUC